rnacentral:ncRNA from 2 species
AAAUCAAAAAAAAAUAACACUCGUAUAAUUCCGAAAUAUGGUCGGGAGUCUCUACAGCUAACCGUAAAUUAGCUACUAUGAGUGAAAAGAUAAAACAG